CCUACGGGAGGCUGCAGUGAGGAAUAUUGGUCAAUGGACGAGAGUCUGAACCAGCCAAGUCGCGUGAAGGAUGACUGCCCUAUGGGUUGUACACUUCUUUUAUAUGGGAAUAAAACGUUCCACGUGUGGGAUUUUGCAUGUACCAUAUGAAUAAGGAUCGGCUAACUCCGUGCAAGCAGCCGCGGUAAUACGGAGGAUCCGAGCGUUAUCCGGAUGUAUUGGGGUUAAAGGGAGCGUAGGUGGAUUGUUAAGUCAGUUGUGAAAGUUUGCGGCUCAACCGUAGAAGUGCAGUUGAAACUGGCAGUCUUGAGUACAGGAGAGGUAGGCGGAAUUCGUGGUGUAGCGGUGAAAUGCUUAGAUAUCACGAAGAACUCCGAUUGCGAAGGCAGUUCACUGGACUGCAACUGACACUGAGGCUCGAAAGUGUGGGUAUCAAACAGGAUUAGAUACCCGAGUAGUC
rnacentral:rRNA from 1 species